GCGGGUGUAGUUUAGUGGUAAAACCUCAGCCUUCCAAGCUGAUGAUGAGGGUUCGAUUCCUUCACCCGCUCCA
rnacentral:tRNA from 1 species